UACAGUAACCAUAUCACCCUGCAACUCACAAUAGGAAACCCACUGAAGCUAAGCAGGUGUGAGCCUGGUCAGUACCUGGAUGGGAGACCUCCUGGGAAAAACUAAGGUUGCUGCUGGAA
ensembl:rRNA 5S_rRNA 5S ribosomal RNA